rnacentral:lncRNA from 1 species
AGUAGAAACUGCGCUCCGAGGAAACGACAGGGCAGGCCAGGCACCCUGUAAGGUUUCCAUUAAGUUAUGACGGCGAGAGACUUACACGCACUGGCCACAUCUCUCAACAGGGCACCUUAUGGGCUACUCGUGCGCUUAAAAAGUGUGCGGACGCUAGAACCCUUUAACCUUGUCGGAAGUACGAAUCAGCAAAUCGUUAAUGAAUUGCUCAUCAAUCUGGAACGCAUCGCCCUGGUGUCGCAGCGGCUUCCGUUCGUGGGCAGGCUUUAUUGUUGGCUCGCAAAGCAGGACCUCCUGCUAUCGUGGGAGGUGUAUCGAGUCGACCCGUUCAAUGUGACCUUGAUCUACUUUGCCCUGCACAACCGCAUUGCGAGAGCGCUAGACGAUUCAGGUGGUUCCGUGUCGUUUGUGCCACUAAUCACCCUGCGUGCCCGCUAUGGUUGCAUUAUGAUCCCGGGCAUGGUGCCUACGGAAGAGCACCGGGUCGUCUGUUUGUGUGUGUGGCAUAAUCGCCACUUCGUGGCCGUAUGGGCGGCAGAGUCGGUGGGUCGGGUAUAUCUGCGUUCGGCACUUGCUUCAGCGCUCUGCGGAAAUCCCGACGAAUUGCGGAUUGGUUCCUUCCAAACCCUCUCGAACGCGUAUGGCGCAGUCUGGCAUUCUGCACUAGAUCAACAGGCACCGCGCUAAACCAUCAAAGGCUCAUGCGCUGUGACGUUCAAGAGCACGAAAGCCUGGAAGGUCCUGACCUACUCGAUUCUCAGAGGUUGUUCCCCCGGCACACAGCUGGCGACGAUAACACCGAGCGGCCAUAUCCUGGAACUAUGGCAUUUUAGGGCGUCCAUCACUUCAUCUUGCAGCACUACCAGGCUUCCUACCAGAGGAGGCUGGACUUUGGCUAGCUUGAACUUGUUUUGUCGUGACUAGUAUGUUCCGCAGCCCGGCACGCCUUGAAAUGUCUUCGGAAUUGGUCUUGCGCUUUGCCUGCACUCGCUGACUUUCUUCGACAAACACACAAUGUGUGCGCCAAGAUAACGGACAAAAGUAUUAAGGAACGCAAAAACGUCUGUGGCAUUUUAUGCUCGUAACGAAUCCGUUCGGAUGAUUCGCCUCAUAUUUCUUAGUCACCUUAUGUCACCACAUUGCUUUUAGCGUCUUUAUUAUUACGCGUUUCCGCUACGUUAUUCUGCGAUUAUGAAAACGGCACAAUUGUACAAGACAAAAAGGGCGAAGACGCAAUGACACAGGCGCCGACAUUCAGCCGAACGUUUAAUCAAAUGCGCGGAAUUAGGUAAAUACUCGUCUUGGUAUUUCUUUUUAGCUUUUGCCUUAUGCGCAGUCAUAUACGGCUGUAUAUUUGAUCUUCCCAUAUGAAUAAAAACUUCAGUGGCCAGUCCGCACUUGCGUUAUUGUGUCUUCAGUCUUUCCGUCUUAUUCUGUCCCGCCGUUGGCAGCUCAUCAAAUGUCAAUCCUAAGCAACAUUAUGUUAACAAAAGCGCUCGCCAGGAGUCUUGCAACUGAUUUUCAUUAUUGUAGGCAAGUGUCUCUUUGAACACUGUGUUGAUUUUCUGUGCAAUAAACGUAGUGGGAGGUAUCAAGU